rnacentral:rRNA from 1 species
AUGCAGUACUGGUCCAUCGAGGGGGCACAGGAGAUGCUCGGCGACAAGGUGUGCAUCGACCGCCUCGACAGCCGCACGCUGGAGCGCGGCCACACCAAGACCUUCGUGUGCUGGGUCUGGGUGUGGGACAUGACGUUCAUAUCGACGAGGCACACCUACUGGAAGCUGCCACAGGGCGCGGGGCGCAUCGAGGAGAUGGACGGCUUCCCGCCGCCGGACCGCCGAGUGGCUCCUCCUCCGGGCGCCACGCGGUAUGACCUGCUCAUCCACGUCGACCGCAUCAAAGAUUGGUCGCCGCGGUCAUCGCGCUCCUCGCACUCUGCAUAGAGUGGCAUGCCAUCCUCCGGCUCUGACAACGACGACGUGCUGCCGCUCACCUACACGGGCACCUGGACCAUGCACAUCGAAGAUGGCCAGCGCGAGGAGCACCACAAGCGCCAGGCCCGCCCCCGAUGGCGGACAUGGGCUGCCGAGGCAUGCCUCUUGGCGGCCCUAGGCGCGACCAUGAUAGCGACGGAGCGGGAAGGAGGUCCUGGAAGGACACGCUGCUGGGGCGCGGCCACGGCCACCAGGAGCGGGGCGAGGCUUCCUCGAAGCAACGCCGCAGCCGCUCCCCCCCCCGGCGCGCCAUCGCUCCAGUGGCUCCAAGGGUAA